UUUUCUCUGCAAAAUAUCGUCAGGAGAAAGCUAGGGUUUCAAAAAUCAAAUCAAUCCUUAGCUUAGAUUAGCUCAAGAUUUAGAAUCGUCCAUAUAUGUUAUGUAAUGAGUUUGAUUUAGGGUUCAUCCUUGAAUCAGUGAAGAAAACAAUUAUGGUUUUUUUCUUUGGGUGUUUUCGUGUUGAAGAUGAGAACCAAAAUCAUCAUAUCAUCUCUGAUUCUUUCAACAAAAAAAAUCCUUUGGUAUCUAGGAAUCGUCUAGUAGCGUUACUCUUAUCUGAAUCUCAAGGUGUGGGUUGCAGCUGUAAUGAUAGAGGUGGAUUUGUAGUUUGUCCUAAUUCUGUUAUGAAGAAGCUGAAGUAUUGAUUUGGGUUACAAUGAAUUAUGUCUUAGAUGAGGAUGAUUAUGAGUUACUGCGGGAUAACAAUGUGGGAUUUCACCGUCCUGCACCAUUCCAGGUGAUCCUUCUAUAAUUGGAAAAGAAACGUGCAAAGGAAAAUUUUAUAUGUGGCUCGAGUGAGGUGUCCUAGUAACUUUCAAGCUG